GGUUCUAGUGAGCAUCGGCUUUCUGUUCAUUUCGUUUGUCAGCCAUGGACAAAACUGUGCUGCUCCUGUUGUACCUGCAGGUUGUUCUGCUCAUCACUGCCUUUCCUUCGGACGCAGCUGGUCAAGUCGUAGUGAAAGGUCCAGAUCAGGUAAAAAGAUCCGCAACCGCAAUCAAACAGGUGGCAAACAGGAUGGUCAACCCAUCAAAGCAAAAACAGAAGAGAAGCUCCAUUUGUUCCAAAAGACCUGGAACAUGCAGCUUAAUGGGCCAGUAGUUUACCCAUCACACAUUGCUCCAGCCAGAAACUCCUUCCUGCAUUUUUCCAUUGACCUGGCUGCUUCAAUAAUCUACGCAUAUAAACUAUCACAACAACAGAUUCUCUGCAAACAUGUUGCAACACUGCAGUUGGUACAGCAGUCACCUCGCAUACAUCAUCAAAAUAGACAGAUGCUAAAUUUGAACCAGCUCACUGGACUUCUCUGAGAAGUCUGAAAUUAAACACAAAUAACAUUCAACCACUAAAACUAAUUUUGGAAGUAAAUAUAAGAUGAAGUAUUAGGGCCACAUUAAGAAAAUAAAAUAUUUUGAUAAAUUUGAGAGUGAAGUCAAAAUUUCAAGAUUAAAAUCAAAAAUCUAUUUUGAGAAAAGCAUCAAAAUGUGGAGAUUACUUUUGUUGUUUCAAGACAAACUGCCACGUUUCUUAUACCCUCUACAAAAUGCCUUGUGUAGAUGAGUUAGCCAUUUCACAUUACACGAAUACAGCUUUCUGCACCAUCUUUUCAACAUCCUUUUACAUAUCACCAUAAUGUUUUCCUUCUUUGUUACUUAAGUCGAUUCUGAAGUACGAUUUCACUCAGAGGGUACAGCAACCAUGGCAGAUUGUCUUGAAACAAAAUAGAAUUACAAUAUUAUUCUCAAAAUGAUGAAUAAUAUUGUUUUUCUCAAUGCGGCCCUAAUACUACGUCGUAUAAAUAACCUCGGCAUCUUAAUUUUAAAAAAAAUCCUAAAGCACUUAGCUGUUUUAAGAUAUUUUUUUUGUAAAACUAUGAAUUUGAAAAAUUGUAGAGAACAACAAUAAUUAUUUUGAUAUUACAUAAAUAUAUAAACAUUGCAUGUUGGAGGAUUAACCACAGGAACAUAAAAAGUGGUUUUGGUAAUUACCAGUAUUGUGUAUUUAUGGCAGCUGUGGAUACCUUGUGUGGAACCUUGCACUGGAUAGUAAUAAUAAUUUUGUUAAGUACUGCAUAUGCUGAGUAUGAAUUGGACUAAUAAAAUAUUUAAAGCACUGCACAUGUGUGUGAAUUAGACUGAUAUUCUGAAAAGAAGCUGUGUAGUUAAUUGUAAGAUUAUCCAAUGAUGACAAAUAAAGAGAU